GCUGGCAGCUAGCUCUCUGCAACUCAAAUGGUCACCCACUGAAGUUAAACAGGGCUGUGUCUGGUCAGUAUCUGGAUGGGAGACCACAUGGGAACACUAGGUUGCUGCUGUAA
rnacentral:rRNA from 1 species